AUUCGUGUACGUGUCGUGGCUCAGACCAGCUGUGCCUCUGUUUAACCACAUAGCUGUGUAGACACGGGAAAGCAGAAGGGAUGCAAAAACGGAGACCAGACAGGAGCUACUUUGGUCACUCACGGCUGCAAAAUGCUGUCUCGGUGGCGGCGGCGCUGGCAAGCCACGGCCCGGGGCCUGCUGGAAUAGGUGUAGAGGCCUGAGGCCUCGGCUGUCCGAGGGUUAGGGUCUGUCAUCGCCGAAGCCUGGUUGAGCGUCGAACUGCUUCCCCUCCGGUGAAGGUGGGCUCUGAAGCAGGUUGGGGCUAAGGAGUCGUCGUAGUCGGAGACUUCUCUUCCGGUGCGAGCUGAGCACCUCUCCAUGUCACAGAGCAUAGCAGAGCCAACUCUCCUGCCUCCCGGGACUGACCUGCCCCAUCUGCAUUGUCUUUACAGACCAGGAACAAGGAAAUACGUGGAGCUGGAGAGUGAACAGGAACUUGAAAACGCACAGCACAGCCAAGAAAGUCUCCUCCUGUGGAUGAAGAGUCCCCUUUCCAUCCAUCUAGCAACAUCAAGAAAAAUUACUUAAGGCUGAUUAAUUAAACUUAAUGCCAAUUUUUUACUUCCUGUGACAGACAGCCCAGAAUGAACCCAAGUUCAUUCUUCAACGCGGUUGUCGAUAUGAUCCAAAUCCAUCCGCUCAGAUAUAGACCUACCUAGCACCUGCUACAUCACACAUGAUGGCACACGUGAGUGGCCUUUUCUCAGAAGCUCAGCGUCAUCUCUGGUCAACACACCCAAAGCCAAACUGCUGAUUUGAGAGUUCCAGAACCUUCUACCUCAGUCUCAUCUCUAUCGAUGGCCAAUCCACCCCCCGGUUCCUUGGGCCAGAACAUUUUGAUCAUCCCGGAUGUCCCUUUCUCUCCAACAGCGCACUCUUUCAGCAGAUAGCCAUCCGCGCCAGAUAUAUUCGUUCAGAAUCCAGCAACAGGUCACCACCUUUAGCUGCCGUUUCCCAGGUUGCUUUCCUGCAGUUGCCGUCACACAGUUCUCUCUGCCCUAAGCGUCUGUCUCCCUUGCAUCCCUGCAAGCCAGAGUGAUGUUUCCCAUACACAUAGCAGACUUGUCUCUGUAUCCUUUUUGGUGGCUUCCUAACUCACUCAACAAAACAAGCAGGCCAAAGGAGGCCCAGUUUGAUCUGACAUCGGACUCCUGCUUAUGUCUCCCACCCUUUUGCCUUUACUUUCUCUCUUCCUGCCCCUGCUGGCUCUUAGCUCUCUCUUCCCGGCCCUGCUAGCUCUCUGCAGCUCCCGCAGCAUUGCAGGCACGCUCACACUUUGGGCUUCUGCUCUUGGUGUUUGUUCUAACAGGAAUUGUGCCCCAGGAGUCUGUUUGGUACACUACACCUUUGCUCAAAAUGUCCCUUUGCAACAAGGCCCCCACAGGUUGCACUGCUUAAGGUUGCAACAGCCCCCCCUGCCCCCGCCCCCCAGCAACUGUCAGUUCCUCUUCCCAACCUUCCUUUCCUGCUGCAUGGCAUACAGCUGUUUCUGAUACGCUAGGUGAUUUAAGCUUACCGUUUCCUUGUGCUACAAGACGAGCGCUAUCCGACGAGGAUUCUCUUUCUCAUCGCCUGUACCCAGAAGAGUGCUCAGUAGACAGAGGCCCACUACACAGGUCUUAAACAGUUGGGUCGCAUGACCAGUGUCAUCAUUCAGGAGCAGAGACCCAGAGAGCUUGUGGAGGAAUGGAAGCCUUCUUGGGUCCUUCAUACCACAACAGAUGCGAAUACAAGUUCACGGCCCUCUGUUAUCCCAUGACUUUGACAAACUCAGGGAAGGUAACUGUUGAGGGGUCCUGGUCUCAGCCUUCCCAUACUCGCUCUGCUGGUCUCUUGGAAGUUGAAUCUGUGUUUCUCUCCCUUUAGUGUAGAUGGAGCUGGCGGGCUUGCUUCUAGGCUUGAUGGUGGCAGAUGAUAAACCAGACUGCUUGCAUCUUGGGCUUGAAAGCCAUUUUAGAGUAAAGACAAACCAGGUUCAUUGCUGUUUAAAAUUAAAUGUCUGUUUCUCUUA
rnacentral:lncRNA from 1 species